ensembl:lncRNA
UGAAGAUAAGAGUGGUUCAGGUGUAUGUGUGUGUGUUGUGAGAUUCAGAAGGACGCAGCCCUUCUUCUUGUUAGAGAGCGCAGAUAAAAGUGUCCAGCUCUCCUCUUCCUGCUUGUUCAGCUAUUAUCGCUGUGAGAAAGAAUUUAUAAAACAGUCUUGUAGUGGACAACAGUCUAAGUCAUCAGAGGUCAACAUACAGUAUUCUAUCAUAUGCAAACUUAUAUCAUUAAAAGCUUAUACUGACUACUAAGUACAAUUUUCCAUUGACAUUCCCUCCUGUUGUCAGUAUAACUUUCAAGUGAGAUAUCAGUAUGUAACAUCUUGUUGUACAGUUUCUAUCACACCAUCAUUAAUCACACAAAGUUUUCAUGUUCCAACAGGUCAGAGUCAUCAUCAUCAUCAUUUGUCACGGCUAUGUAUGCAGCAACAGUGGAAACAAUUAUACGGUUAAUCAUGAGUUUUAGACAUGGCAGGAUACAUGUUACAAAACACAAAAUAAAAGUUAAAAUACAAAAAGGGAUAAAUAGAAUAAAUAAGAAUAAGAACACAAAGGAAUUGCAAGUAUUUCAAGUAUUUCAAGUAUUGAAGUCUAUUGCACCGUUGGUUUUUAACAAAAAGUAUUGCACAGUGAAAAGGCAGUAGUAGUCUUUUUAGCAGUCACUUGUAUUAUUUACAUAGUCCUGAGUUUGGGCCUGCUAGAUCUGUCUCAAGGCGUUCAGGGCAUCAGUCAUGUUUGAUGAGUGUACAUUGUCUGGUGUGUGUGUGUCUCAUUUGUCACUCAAUCAACAAGUGCAUGUCUGUUCAGGUGUGUGUUUCUCUUCAUUCUGAGUCAGUGUGUGUAUGUGUGUGUAUGUUGGCGUGUUUAUCACUUUCCUGUUCUGGUGUUUUGGGUAAACCACGGCCUGAAGCAUGCCCUGGGGUCCUGCCCUCCUCCUUUUCAGUCCGUUUGCGACCAUUGCUGCUGCUGCUCACAGUUCAGUGUGUCCUGGUCCUGGCCCCAAUUGGGGCAGUCCUUUCUCCAGUGUCCAUGCUCACCGCAGGUGAAACCUGCAUCUUCUUCUGUGUUUUGUCCAUUCUGAGGUGCCUUUUGACCUCAGUUGCUCCUCCUGUCUCUGGCACACCCUUUCUUCUGCUGCCCGAUCAUCCGUGUUGGUCCAUCACUGUCCUGCACAGUGUUAAUGCAGAGUUAUCAAGGUCAGCAUUCUUUUGCUCGGCCUUACUUUUCAUUCGGGCUUAAUGGGCGUCUCGUCACAGCUCUGUCAGCUGAAGCUGUCUGGAAAUCUCCUCCGUGUAGUGAAACGAGCCUUGGAUUUAACGCUCCCCGUCUCUGCUGCAUGAGAUCGCUUUCCUGUAGCACUGUUGACAUUUUUAGAUUGUUGUUAUGGGUCCAGCUGCUGCAGCAUUUGGUCAGGGUCAAGGUCAGAGAUGGUAGAGGGGAGAGCAGGAGUCCAGGUCAGCUUCGGCUUUCAGGACUGGCAAAGCAGCCUGUGAUUAAACAUAAAGAGAAAAAACAAAAACAAAACAAAAACAGACGAACAGGAAAAUGAUGUUGUAUUGGCUGUGUUAUUCAGAGAGGGGAGAAACACCGGGCCAGGCCCUGUGUCAGCCUUCUCUCCCCCCUUUUUUUGUGUUUUUUCUCACCAUAUAAUCAACUCAUAACCCACCAAGUUGACAGGACAACACAGGUACAUGGUAAAAUUUGUAAGAUCAUGUUUAAAAGCACAAAAAAGGAAUUUUCCUUCCUUCAGUAAUCACUUAUAUGAUUCAAUCAGCAGAAAACAUCUCACAAUUUGACUCUUAACCACUAAAUUUGUUGUUUCAUCACUGGUUGGUCAUACCAGUGUCGUUCUUUUUGAAGUUGUUGUCCUGCAACCCAGAGAGUUUAUUUGUUAGUAGUGGAUAAACUUCAGCAUUUGAUAACAAAACUAUUAAGUUUUCCCUGUUUUAACACUAAUGAGGGAUAUAGGCGCAUGUAUAGUGUGUGCUGUAGUGUAAGCUGUUCUUCAUUGCAUGUAUGUGUAUUAGUAGCUUGCAUGCAAGGCCUCUGGGACUGUCUCACCCAAAAGAGCAUUUUCUCAACAGUUGCCUUUCUUUCGCGUGUGUUAAGAAAGGCAAAUGUGCUUGUAGCAGUUGUGAGAUUAUUAUGCUGUUAUAUAUUACAUUAUACCUAUAAUCAAAAUGAGUGAAUCAUGAUACUGCUGUAGGCCACAUCAUACUUCUGAGUUAAAAGAAUGUGAAAAUCAUUAGAUUUAUUAGAUAGGUUUGUAUUAUCCUAUACUGCUGAUUUACUGCUGAUUCACUGUGAGUUACGCUGUUUCAUGACAUUUCAUACUGCCGAGUUAUGAAGAGAAUAUUGU